rnacentral:misc_RNA from 1 species
AACGCACAUUGCGCCCGCCAGUAUUCUGGCGGGCAUGCCUGUCUGAGCGUCAUUUCAACCCUCAUGCCCCAGCGGCGUGGUGUUGGGGAUCGGCCUGAGCAUCGGCUCGGGCCGUCCCCUAAAUAUAGUGGCGGACCCGCUGUGGCCUCCUCUGCGUAGUAGUGAUAUUUCGCACUGGAAAGCAGCGAGCCCCUGCCGUAAAACCCCAACUUCUCAAGGUUGACCUCAGAUCAGGUAGGAAUACCCGCUGAACUUAA